CACUGAAGACAUGUCCUCAUUAUCAGAGUAUCGGGGGUUGUCCUGGACAGCGUUUUGUUUUGUGACAAUGCUUUUGAUGAUGUGUUCUCAUGUGGAAUGUCAAGUGCUGCCAUUUAAUGUGACGUCACCCUUAUCAGUAUUCACUCAUCAGUUGGAACACGCAUUAGAUCAGCUCAGCGCUGUGGCUGGAGUGGCCGCACUUUUUGGAUGAGUCAGGCAAUAGACUACAGUGAGAUUUGGAAAUGAAACUUGCAUAAAAAAAAUCAGUUAUCUGUAAUUUUUUUUUUGUGAAAUAUUAUUGCCUAUGUUUAAAUAAAGUUAUUCUUAAAUGAA